rnacentral:rRNA from 1 species
GAUGAACGCUGGCGGCGUGCCUAAUACAUGCAAGUCGAGCGAACAGACGAGGAGCUUGCUCCUCUGACGUUAGCGGCGGACGGGUGAGUAACACGUGGAUAACCUACCUAUAAGACUGGGAUAACUUCGGGAAACCGGAGCUAAUACCGGAUAAUAUAUUGAACCGCAUGGUUCAAUAGUGAAAGACGGUUUUGCUGUCACUUAUAGAUGGAUCCGCGCCGCAUUAGCUAGUUGUUAAGGUAACGGCUUACCAAGGCAACGAUGCGUAGCCGACCUGAGAGGGUGAUAGGCGACACGGGAGGGGGGACACGGUCCAGAGGCCUACGAGAGGCAGCAGUAGGGAAUGUGACGCAGUGGGCGAGAGCCUGACGGAGCAGCGCCGCGUGAGUGAUAGAGAUCUUGGGAUCGUGAAGCUCUGUUAUGAGGGAAGAACAACUGUGUAAGUAGCUAUGCACGUCUUGACGGUACCUGAACAGAAAGCAACGGCUAACUACGUG